CGGUGGCACAACAAAUGCCAGCAGCAGAGCGAACAAUGGUGCAGCAGUGACACACCGUGAACUGUGAGCCAGUUGUGGGGGCAGCUGGGAAGGCAUUGCUCGACAUUCCUUCCCCCUCCGGAUGGGAGGUGAACUCACCCGAAUGCAUCUCUGAAUGCUGGGUCUCCGCUCCCCAAGGACAGCAGCUGGGAGUGGGAGGCACUGGAGGGAGAGGGGAGUGGCGUGUUAAAGCGGUAGCGAGGAAUGAGGCUGACAACGUUACAGACCAAACCAGCAUGCAAAGAGUCUCUUCAGCACCUGGGAACCAACACAUUUAAAUGAGAUGAAUAAAACCAGCAGACGGUCAGUUCAGUGCAGCUAGAAUUCACCUCUGGACUGCCACCUCCAUAACAGACUCUUCACUGGAUUGUGCCUGCUCUAGGUGAAUGACUCCGCAGUCCACAAAGUUCUGUGCCGUCAAACAUGCGCACGGGUCACUGAAAGUCUGCCAAAGCCUGGAAUUCCUCCUCUUCGCCACAGAGCUGACAGGGAGCCCAAACUGGGUCCCAAAAUGGGGAAAGAGGUUCCUUUCUCCCCUGAAGUCUCAGCCGUGUUGAUCACUCAUCAAGCAGGGGAGAGCAGAAAAUCUUGCUUGCCUCCAUGCACUGACCACAUCUUGCGUCAGUCAGCAGCAGCAGCGUCACCAGUCUGCCUCUGCUCACAAGAAGUCAGAGUCAUGGCUUGGCAAUACUACUUAUUUCAUUGUAAUGAACUAAACCAUAACUCGUGUCAUGGCCCUGCACUCAGCUGUAGACACUGUGGCAUUGCUGUGCUGAGAGAGACUGGGGGCUGCUUGAAUCACAAACUGCUUUGAGAUUGGGUGUGAAUGCACCCUUCAAUUAGCAUAACUGUCAGGAUGAGUUAUGGGGAAGCCCCUCCCACCCCCAAGAUAAAAGAGGAUUGUGAACCCACCCAGGAGUUCUGGACUGAGGGUAUGUGUGCACUGCAAUUAGACACCUGCUGCUGCUGGCCCCUGCCAGCUGACUUGGGCUAAGGGGCUGUUUAAUUGUGAUGUAGAUGUUUUGGCUCAGGCUGCAGCAUGAGCGCCGGGACCCUCCCACCUCACAGGGUCCUAGAGCCGAGGCUCCAAUCCAAGCCUAAACGUCUACACCUCAGUUAAACAGCCCCUUACCAGAGCCCCACGAGCCCAAGUCAGCUGGCACUGGCCAGUCACAGGGUCUGUCUACACUGCAAUCAGACACCUGAAAAGACAGGGGGCUUUGGGAGAGGGGGCCAUGUGCAUGUGGUGUGUAAAAAAAAGACAAGCCAGAGACAGAGAGGCUCAGAGGAGGAAGAAAGCCAAACAGGAGCCCAUGAGCACAGCGCGACUCAGGCAAAAGUGAGAGAGAGCUUUUGGGUCAGGUCCUGGCUAAAGCGGCUUGGGACUGUAAGCUAGGAAACUGCUCCUUUUGUUCCUAGUUCCUCCUGCGUUCGGAGAAGUGGGCUUUGUACAUUCCUUGCAAAUGAACAAAACUGCACCAAAAAAAUCCCAGACUCCAUCAAUUUCUACUUCCAAACGGAAUGUCCCCACUGGGCCCUGAACUUAGACUAGCCGCUUGAGUCGAAAAGGGGCAACAGUAUUAAUGGAGUUCAGCAGGCUGCCUUGUUCCUCCAGUCCAUCAGUAUUUCUCCCCUACGUGCUCUCCGGGGCUCUGCAAUUCCCACACUGAAUGUAUUUUGCGUCAGUGUUUCCUGGGAGGAGCAGAGUGUGAUGAUGCCUCUUCUGACCUGACCCUGCUUUUCCUAUGCACAUCGCUCUGUCUGGGGCUGGACAAACACAAAGACAGAGCUGGGGAGACAUGGCAGAGAUGUCCCUCUUGUCUGGUUUCCAAGUGGCACACAGUAUUGGUCCAAGUGCAGGCCUCUGCCAGGCAAAGGCCUGAGUUUGAGAUCUCUAGGCCAGCCUGAAGUAUGAGUCCUGGGAACCUCGCAGGGUCUGUACAUCCCAGAGGAGAGCGCAGAGGAAUCCCUGUCAGGUGGAAAGGAGCAGACCUGGGGUGGCUGUCUUUGCUGGUCAGCAAGCCCUAAACACUCACCCAUUUAUUCCUACAGUUAAACGUCACAGGUGGAAGCACUAGGGAGGCCAGCCCAUGGCAUGUGCCAACUGCACAGAGCUGUGUAUUUCUCAGGGCCCCAGCCCAGCAUGCCACCUCCUCCACCCCAUCACAGCAAGAUGAACCUGUGGGCUCAACCCUUGCCAGCUAGCACCAAAUCCAACCCAUUCCUCCAGCCCCAGAAACACAUACGGGUAUCCAGCACUCACUCAGUCUCCCUUCCAGCUGCCAAAGCCUCCCUCGCCCCCGAAUAAUGAGAGUACCGAUAAUCCGUGUGCCAAACUCUCCCCACUUGAAGGGGCAACAAACACUGCUGAGCCCCACACAUCUGACUCCACCAGGGUCCUGAUACAUCCAAGGAUAUUUCUUCCACCAGAAAUGCUUGAGAACCAGCCUUUAACAGACGCAAAGCACAGGUAACCUAGAUCUCCCUUUCUGGCACCAAUACCUGCAGGGGUACAGGCAAACGUCACUGUUUAAACCCACAGCCAACCGAAAAAGAGACACACCCCACAAGUGACAGACAGCUCGCACCAUCACAUAUAAUGGCACAUGGAAAAAAUUGUUUCAUGCUAGUGCGCCGCCUUCCAUGCCCAAAUCGUUAUAAACAAUGCCAUGCUGACAACCACGCAUGCACUCUUUGAGUGCCACACUGCCUACAUCAGGAAACUUUUAGUGUCAUACACCUGCCUACAUCACAACAUACACAUCUAUUACAACGGGUUUUGCUGAGCAGUUUGAAAAACCAACCUCUGAUCUUCUGUAACUAAAUGAGAUUUCAUAUUCAGCUAAUCUGAUUUAAAUAGUUCAGUUGUAAACAAAAUUGUAUUAAUUGCGCUGACAUGGCUGGUUCGUGAAUGCAGGA